rnacentral:rRNA from 1 species
AAAUAACGUCUCAGUUCGGAUUGUAGUCUGCAACCCGACUACAUGAAGCUGGAAUCGCUAGUAAUCGCGGAUCAGAAUGCCGCGGUGAAUACGUUCCCGGGCCUUGUACACACCGCCCGUCACACCAUGAGAGUUGGCAAUACCCAACGUACGUGAUCUAACCCGCAAGGGAGGAAGCGUCCUAAGGUAGGGUCAGCGAUUGGGGUGAAGUCGUAACAAGGUAAC